GUGCAGCAGUCGAAAUUUUUCUCAAUGGGCGAAAGCCUGAAGGAGCGACGCCGCGUGGGGGAUGAAUGGCUUCGGCCCGUAAACCCCCGUCAUUUGCGAACAAAUUGACUCACCCAACACGUGUGUCAUUGAUUGUAGCGGAAGAGGAAGGGACGGCUAACUCUGUGCCAGCAGCCGCGGUAAUACAGAGGUCCCAAGCGUUGUUCGGAUUCACUGGGCGUAAAAGGGUGCGUAGGCGGUUGGGUAAGUCUGACGUGAAAUCUCCGGGCCUAACCCGGAAACUGCGUUGGAUACUAUCCGGCUAGAGGAAUGGAGGGGAGACUGGAAUACUUGGUGUAGCAGUGAAAUGCGUAGAUAUCAAGUGGAACACCAGUGGCGAAGGCGAGUCUCUGGACAUUUCCUGACGCUGAGGCACGAAAGCCAGGGGAGCAAAACGGGAUUAAGAU
rnacentral:rRNA from 1 species